AUUCCUAGUAAAUAGCAACAAUCCUUAAAACAGCUCCAAGACAACUACUCAUCAUGCAAGCUAGAAUAGUUUGCAGCAGGUUCUUGUAGAAAAAUUUGGCGCAAACAAUGAGAAAAAUGAGACUAAGAGGCAUCUAGAAAAGGAGGAGAACAACAGGCAUGAAAAGAAUAAGAAAAAUGAGGACUGAGAAGCAGAAAAGAUAGAAUGUAGAUAAGGGAGUCUCAGGUAAUUAUUUUUUUGGAUUAUGUGAAGCAGAAUAAUAGACAGGGAAGGAAGAAAAAGGGAAAGACAAAGAUGUGAAGAGAACCAAGAGGAGCUACAAGAAAAGAAAAGGAAAAUUGAUCGAGCGAAGAAGAGUAGUGAAGCAGAACAAUAUAGAGAGAGAGAGCUAAUGGACCUGUUUCUGUGCAGAGAAACCCUAACAGCAGUUCUUUUCCUCCCCUUUGUGUAGAAUGUUCUCAAUUUCUUAUCUAUUACAGGCUUCUUUCUUUUGUUGUUUUAAUUUUUUCUGAGGUGAAUGAGAACAUGGUAGGCUCACAUCGGUAUUAAAAGCAGUGGUGUAGAUCUAUGGAUGAAAUACCAUUUAAAUAAGAAAAACAAAAGAAGGGAGAAGGAAGAAGAAAUGUAAAAACUAUUAGAGAAAAAUAUUAGCACGGCACACAUUUCAUGGGAAAGUCUGAUGAACCUUACCUGCCUUUUACAGGUUGAGGUGGCAGGGGUGCAGCCCUAGCUUCUUAUGCCUUUGGUAUUUCUUUAACAACUAUGUUUCUCAUGUUCAUGAUUUCCUGUUUCAGAAGAAUAAUGGAGUUAAGGUUCAGAUGUGGUUCUUAGCCACCUUUGUCUGCUUUUUUUACUAAAAUAGUAAUAUGCGCUUAUUCCAACCAUUAAUUUCUUUACCUUGAGCAAAUAAGGUGGUGCUUUGUUGAAUGGAAGUGUCAAAUUUGAUAAUUGUAUAUGAUCUUAGAGCUCAUGCCAAUUUCAGUGAUGGUACAGAUGUAAAAAUGUUGGUGAAUGUUCUAACAAUAUUAUGUUGUAAGCACCAUACUGGCAUACUCUACUUGGGCCACCUUGGCAUCUGAUUGGUUCUUGUCUACUAUCUUGUUGAAGUUCUCCACUGCUUUACUGGACAGUUUUGUAUUUUGGGACUAAAUUGGAUAAAUUAUAUACACUAACUAUAGCAACAUUGUUCACAUGAUUAUAGCACCCCUUUGUCACUCUUUUAUGAUUUUAGUUUCUUCUUCUUUUUCUUAUGUGUGUUGGUACAGCAAUGAACUGUAGGUAGGCUUUCUUGCUUAAUAAAUGUCUUUAGUUAUGAAGUACUGAGUAUUCCAUGAUACAUAUUUUAUGCAUUUGCAAAUUAUUCCUCGAGUGAGUUAAUUCAUUAGGGAGAAAUCUUCUUUUUGUCUUCACCGCAUUCUGCUUGGCCUAGUCAACAUGUGAACUAAUUGGUCAGUUAAAUUAAUGAAUGUUAUUGCAAUGUUUUAUGGGUUAAAAAGGAAAAUUAUGAUUCUUCUUAUCUGACCCUAAAGUUUUUGUUGCUAUGAUGCACAGAUAUGCGGGUUUUUGCCAAGUAGCUGAGUUGUAAUUAUAUUCUUUGUUUUGCAGGAAUGGAACAAUAUUGUUAAUG
rnacentral:misc_RNA from 1 species